rnacentral:piRNA from 1 species
UCACUAGGACAGUGUCUAGAUAAAACCUCC